ensembl:snoRNA SNORD115 Small nucleolar RNA SNORD115
GAAUAUAUGAAUAAAGAGUAUCUUCAGGGGACAUAAUAAUGUAAAAAUCAUGCUCAACAGAAUUAAGCUAAGGCUC